ACUCCGGGAAACCGGGGCUAAUACCGAAUAAUACAUUCCAUCUCCUGUUGGAAUGUUGAAAGAUGGUUUACGCUAUCGCUAUAGGAUGGGCCCGCGGCGCAUUAGCUAGUUGGUGAGGUAACGGCUCACCAAGGCGACGAUGCGUAGCCGACCUGAGAGGGUGAUCGGCCACACUGGGACUGAGACACGGCCCAGACUCCUACGGGAGGCAGCAGUAGGGAAUCUUCCACAAUGGGCGAAAGCCUGAUGGAGCAACGCCGCGUGAGUGAAGAAGGUUUUCGGAUCGUAAAACUCUGUUGUAAGG
rnacentral:rRNA from 1 species